UACAUUUAGGAAGUUACUGAUAAUUGAUGGAUUCACAUACCUGCAGGUAUUGAAGUCAAUAUUUUCUACCGUUUAUAAUAAAUUCAAUUUAAAUUAAGAACAACAAUAAACGACAUUUUAUGGCUGUGAAUUUCUAAAAUCAUACCGCAUGUAGUCCUUUAAAAAACUCGUCUCCUUAGAAAAAUAGAUUAAAAAUAAGGUUUUAUAAGUUAUUAUGCACAAAACUAUUAUCUAUUGUUUUAAACCUAAACAUACUCCUUUUUUGAAUAACUUUUUAAGAAAAUGAAUAAAACAAAAUAUUGAUAGAUUAGUACGAUUUUUGCGACUAUGUUAUGCGAAAUAUGGAUGAACUUAGCAUUUACUGCGUAGCAAUUUAGCAAUUUUAAGUUAUUUUUAUUAUUAUUUAUUAUUUCAUAUUAUCAAAACUUCACCUUUCGCAUAUUAAUUAGGUAAGUACACAUUUACCGUGAGUUAUUUAAAAUAGUUGUUAUACUAGCAUCAACCAAUUCUUAUAUUUCAGGUAACGUCGAUUAAUAGCUUAUCCGAUAAAACUCCAACGCUAACCUCUAGCAGAACAGUAUUUACAAUUGUAAUUGGUAUACAUAUGAAUGCGGCUGUAUUUGCGUUGGGACUUUAUUUGGAAAAUAUUGUGGUGGUUAUGGUCAGUUCGACAGUUAUGGUAUUAAUCAGCUUCAUAUUGAUUUUCAUGCCACAAAAUAAUCUUGAAGAUAGUAAAUAUUAUGUGGUAAAAAGAAGAUUUUUACCUUAUACGGCAGUGAUAUCUGUUAUCUUAAAUAUAAUUUUGGGUUCAAUAUUACUUUUUGAAGUUUGGCAUGGAUUCAUACUAUGGGUAAUUUCAGGUCUGGUGUUAUUUUGUCGAUGUAAUUGCUGUAGUUGCGAAGGUCUCUUUCCAGAAAACUCCGAACGACAGAAAAUUAACAGUUCCAAAAUGAACAUUGAAGAUAUUGAAUACGACGACUUUGUUUUUGUAUCUAGUUGACACAGCACUGGUGAUUCAGAUGAAAAUAGUGAAGAAUUAUUUUAUUAUUCAAAUUACUAAAGCGCUAUUUUUUAAUGUGAAUUAAUAUACUUAUCUAAUAUUUCUCUAUUUAAAAUUAGAAAUGUAUACCUGUAAGUGUUUGGAAAUAUUAAAGUUGCCUUAAUUUAUAAGGGGCAGCGUUUAUAGUUUUAAUAUCUAUUUGGUAAAAGA